AACGCGAAGAACCUUACCUACUCUUGAAUCCACAGAAUUUUGCAGAGAUGCGGAAGUGCCUUCGGGAACUGUGAGACAGGUGCUGCAUGGCUGUCGUCAGCUCGUGUCGUGAGAUGUUGGGUUAAGUCCCGUAACGAGCGCAACCCUUGUCCUUAGUUACUAACGAGUUAAGUCGAGGACUCUAAGGAGACUGCCGGUGAUAAAUCGGAGGAAGGUGGGGACGAUGUCAAGUCAUCAUGGCCCUUACGAGUAGGGCUACACGCGUGCUACAAUGGUUGGUACAAAGGGAGGCGAAGUCGCGAGAUGGAGCAAAUCCUUUAAAGCCGGUCGUAGUCCGGAUUGGAGUCUGCAACUCGACUCCAUGAAGUUGGAAUCGCUAGUAAUCGUGGAUCAGAACGCCACGGUGAAUACGUUCCCGGGCCUUGUACACACCGGACACGC
rnacentral:rRNA from 1 species